rnacentral:rRNA from 1 species
AUUGAACGCUGGCGGCAGGCCUAACACAUGCAAGUCGAGCGGAGCGGCGGACGGGUGAGUAAUGCCUAGGAAUCUGCCUGGUGGUGGGGGAUAACGUCCGGAAACGGGCGCUAAUACCGCAUACUAUCAGAUGAGCCUAGGUCGGAGUAGCUAGUUGGUGGGGUAAAGGCCUACCAAGGCGACGAUCUGUAACUGGUCUGAGAGGAUGAUCAGUUACACUUGAACUGAGAAAGGGUCCAUGCUCCUACGGGAGGCACCAGUGGGAAAUAUUGGACAAGGGGCGAAAGCCUGAUCCAGCGAUGCAGCGUGUGUGAAGAAGGUCUUCGGAAUGUAAAGCACUUUAAGUUGGGAGGCGUUACCAACAGAAUAAGCACCGGCUAACUUCGUGCCAGCAGCCGCGGUAAUUC